rnacentral:misc_RNA from 1 species
UUUCCGUAGGUGAACCUGCGGAGGGAUCAUUACAGAGUUCAUGCCCUACCGGGUAGAUCUCCCACCCUAUGUUAUUAUUACUUUGUUGCUUUGGCGGGCCGUUAGGCUCCGGCCCGACUACCGGCCCCGGCUGGUAAGCGCCCGCCAGAGGACCCAAAACCCUGAAUAUUAGUGUCGUCUGAGUACUAUAUAAUAGUUAAAACUUUCAACAACGGAUCUCUUGGUUCUGGCAUCGAUAAAGAACGCAGC